GAUGAACGCUGGCGGCGUGCUUAACACAUGCAAGUCGAACGGAAAGGCCCAAGCUUGCUUGGGUACUCGAGUGGCGAACGGGUGAGUAACACGUGGGUGAUCUGCCCUGCACUUCGGGAUAAGCCUGGGAAACUGGGUCUAAUACCGGAUAGGACGAUGGUUUGGAUGCCAUUGUGGAAAGUUUUUUCGGUGUGGGAUGAGCUCGCGGCCUAUCAGCUUGUUGGUGGGGUAAUGGCCUACCAAGGCGUCGACGGGUAGCCGGCCUGAGAGGGUGUACGGCCACAUUGGGACUGAGAUACGGCCCAGACUCCUACGGGAGGCAGCAGUGGGGAAUAUUGCACAAUGGGCGCAAGCCUGAUGCAGCGACGCCGCGUGGGGGAUGACGGCCUUCGGGCUGUAAACUCCUUUCGCUAGGGACGAAGCGUUUUUGUGACGGUACCUGGAGAAGAAGCACCGGCUAACUACGUG
rnacentral:rRNA from 1 species